GAUGAACGCUGGCGGCGUGCCUAAUACAUGCAAGUCGAACGGGGAGUAGCAAUACUCUUAGUGGCGAACGGGUGAGUAACGCGUUGGUACCUGCCCCGAAGCGGGGGAUAACGGACCGAAAGGUCCGCUAAUACCCCCUGUGCUCGGUAACGAGUACAGGUGAAAACCACGUUGGGAGGGGCAUGCGUCCCAUCAGCUAGUUGGUAGGGUAACGGCUUACCAAGGCGGUGCCGGGUAGGGGACCUGAGAGGGUGGCCCCCCACACUGGAACUGAAACACGGUCCAGACUCCUACGGGUGGCAGCAGUAGGGAAUACUGGUAAUGGGCGCAAGCCUGAACCAGCAACGCCGCGUGUGGGAUGACUGCCUUCGGGGUGUAAAGCACCUUUGACUGGGACGAGGAAGGACGGUACCGGUAGAAUCAGCCUCGGCUAACUACGUG
rnacentral:rRNA from 1 species